rnacentral:rRNA from 1 species
UACGGGGGGGGCAAGCGUUGUUCGGAAUUAUUGGGCGUAAAGGGUGCGUAGGCGGUUUGGUAAGUCUUAUGUGAAAUCUACAGGCUCAACUUGUAGUCUGCAUGAGAAACUGCCGGGCUUGAGUAUGGGAGAGGUGAGUGGAAUUCCUGGUGUAGCGGUGAAAUGCGUAGAUAUCAGGAGGAACACCUGUGGCGAAAGCGGCUCACUGGACCAUAACUGACGCUGAUGCACGAAAGCUAGGGGAGCAAACAGG